rnacentral:misc_RNA from 1 species
GAUGAAGAACGCAGCGAAAUGCGAUAAGUAGUGUGAAUUGCAGAAUUCAGUGAAUCAUCGAAUCUUUGAACGCACAUUGCGCCCUUUGGUAUUCCAAAGGGCAUGCCUGUUCGAGCGUCAUUUGUACCCUCAAGCUUUGCUUGGUGUUGGGCGUCUUGUCUCUAGCUUUGCUGGAGACUCGCCUUAAAGUAAUUGGCAGCCGGCCUACUGGUUUCGGAGCGCAGCACAAGUCGCACUCUCUAUCAGCAAAGGUCUAGCAUCCAUUAAGCCUUUUUUUUCAACUUUUGACCUCGGAUCAGGUAGGGAUAACCGCUGAACUUAAGCAUAUCAAUAAGCGGAGGA